rnacentral:lncRNA from 1 species
GACACCAUAGAGGUGGGCCUUUGGCGAGUCACAGGCGCGGGUGUUCGGCUACGUCACUGGGGCGCUACGGUGCCUGGAGCUGGGCAGUCUUCUCGUCAGAGUGGGGACUGGUAAGAGCGACCUCACCGCCAGGUCCUGUGUGUUGCCGGCUGAAGAAGGGUAGCUGAAAAAUUCAGACCCAGCACAGUGUUUAUGUUGGUCAAAAAUAGAAAACUAUGUCUGCCGCGGCCGAGGCAGGAGGACCCUUCAGGCCAAGAGCAGCCUAGCAACAUGGCGCAACCCCAUCUCUGUAGUCCUACCUCAGCCCCCCAGCUACUUGAACCCAAAGGUUCAAGGCUCCAGUGAGCUAUGAUCCCACCACAGCAUUCCAGCCUGCGAGAUUGAGAUGAUGAUUAUUCCCCACCUUCUAAGAGACAAAGACCAACGAUCCACCACAGCCACCAGUCCCAGAACCCGCCAAUGCUGGGGAAUGGAAAAUGAGGGAGUUCAACUCUGGCCCUCACAAUCCAGUGGAGGAGACGAAACUCAUCUGCCUCUGUCCCUCUGGGCACGCCUCAUGCCAGGUGCAUCUGUGGACAGGGGCCAUGCUCCUGGGCUUCCAAAGUUGGAGAAAGCUGCCAGGCUCAGGUCUGAAGGCCAGAAUUCUACAGUAAGUCCUACUGAGUCAAGGUGGGAGCAGGGUCGGUGGCUUCCGAGGCUCUGCGGGAGAAUCCGUUUCCUGGCCGUAGAGGUGGCCUGCACUCCUCAGCUUGUGCUGCCCGUCUCGAAUGACUGGAGUUUCCUGCUUCUGUCACUACACCUCCCACCCUCUCCAUCACCUGCUCUGCUCUUAUAAGGAUCCGAAGAAAUGGAAUCAUCGUAUCGCUGAUCUGCGUAAACAAAUUGAAGAAUUGUCUGAAAGAAAAUAUGACAUGAACUUAUGAAUUCAACAGGUAAAGAUUUACAACUUGAUAAAUCAACUUUGUGAGCUCGAGCUGUAAAAGCCAAAGGUCCAGUGAUGAUCCCAUACCCUUUUGUCCAGUCUCAUGUUGAAGAUUUUUAUGUAGAAGGCCUUCCCAAAGGAAUUUUUUUUUUUUUUUUGAGAUGGAGUUUUCACUCUUAUCGCCCAGGCUGGGGUGCAAUGGCGCAACCUUGCUGGUCACUGCAACCUCUGCCUCCUGGGUUCAAGAAAUUCUCUUGCCUUAGCCUCCCAAGUUGCUGGGAUUACAGGUGCCCACCACCACACCAGGCUAAUUUUUGUAUUUUUAGUGGAGAUGGGGUUUCACCAUGUUGGCCGGGCCAGUCUCGAACUCCUGACGUCAAGUGAUCUUCCCGCCUCGACUCCUGACAUCAAGUGAUCUUCCCACCUCGGCCUCCAAGAGUGCUGAGAUUACAGAUGUGAACCCAUGCCUGGCCAGGAAUUUUGUUUUUUAGGAAGGCUUUCUACUAAUGGAAUUCCUGGCCUUGAGAGGAUGUUACUUUCGAAGGAAAGGAUUUUUUUGUUAUUAAAAGAGCCACCUAAGCUGAAGAUUCCCUUGAGAACAAGUACUGUCCUGCGGUUUCAUGGCCUUUCUUCCAUUUGUGGUUCUUGUGAAGUGGAAUUUAAAUGACAUCAAGAUGGAUAAACCCUAGUUUCCCAGUGCUGGAAUAUAGAAAAUGGAUGGACAAGUAAAUCCCACUCAGCACCCAUAGUCCAGGCAUGGGGAUCUCAACACACCUGAGCCCCAGACAUCACCUUUCAUUCUGGACCUACCAUGAAAGACUUCUGAAUCCAGGAAGAGAAACUGACUGGGCAACAUGUUAUUCAGGCUGAUCUCUAACUCUUGGCCUCAAGCAGUCCUUCCUCUUUGGCCUCCCAAAAUGUUGGGAUUACAGAUGGGAGCCCCCAUACCCACCAAUCACAAGGAUCUUUAUAAGAGAAGGAGGUAGGAGAGUCAGAAUUAGAGAAAGUGAUGUGGUAAUGGAAGAAGAGGUCAGAGAGGGAGAUUUGAAGAUGCUGCACUUCUGGCCUUGAAUAUGGAGUCACGAGGUAAGUCAAGGAAUGGGGGUGGCUUCUAGAAGCUGGAAAAGGCAAAGGAGCACAUUCUGUCUAGAGCCUCCCCCAGAAGGAAUGCAGCCCCUCUGACACCUUGACUUCAGCCUUAAUAGACCUAGUUGGGCUUCUGGCCCCCAGAACUGUAAGAUGGUAGAUUUGUGGUGUUUGAUGCCACUGAAUGUAGGGUACUUUGUUGUAGUAACAACAAAAAAUGAACAUGAAGCUGGGACCUCAUGUUACAGUUGCU